UACGUAGGGCGCAAGCGUUGUCCGGAAUUAUUGGGCGUAAAGAGCUCGUAGGCGGUUUGUCGCGUCUGCUGUGAAAACUCGGGGCUUAACCCUGGGCCUGCAGUGGGUACGGGCAGACUAGAGUGCGGUAGGGGAGACUGGAAUUCCUGGUGUAGCGGUGAAAUGCGCAGAUAUCAGGAGGAACACCGGUGGCGAAGGCGGGUCUCUGGGCCGUAACUGACGCUGAGGAGCGAAAGCGUGGGGAGCGAACAGG
rnacentral:rRNA from 1 species